rnacentral:rRNA from 2 species
CCCGGCAGCUAGCAUGCAGUGGAAACACCUGAUCCCAUUCCGAACUCAGAAGUUAAGCACUGCAAGGCCGAUGGUACUGCUUGGGCAACCUUGUGGGAGAGUAGGUUGCUGCCGGGU